ACAUAAUAUGGGCUAAAUUGUCAUUUGAAUAAAUAUUAAGAAACUCAUAAUUAAUUUAUAAUCAUAUAAUUAUUUUGGGCUUUUUAGUUUUAGUCUUGUGGUGUAGUGAGUAUUGGUAUAGGCUUGAUUUGGUUAAUGGCUAUGUAAUAAAUGGACCCAUUAAUAUUACUAAUUGGGCUGGGUCCACAUUCUACUCCUAGAUAUAUGUGCCUGUAGAGAAAACCUAUGGCAUUAAGAUCUCUACGUUCUAGAAGCAACUAUCCCAUUGAGGAGACAUGCAUAAAAGAGGGAAAGAUCCAGCCCAUCUCUGUGCUUUCGUUUUCUGCAGGAUAUCACUGCAGUGAUCAACAAUGGCUGCUCAGAGCCAUCAAGGUUUAGUCAUGUCGGGACUAUUGAGAUAAAUCCAGAUAAUGGGCCCUGCUUGCAUCUUUUUUACACGAACCUUCCUUACCUUUGGUAAGGCUGCAGACAAUGGUAAUAUGGGGAUAAACGAUAAUACAAGGAGCAGGAUGACAACUUGGGAAAAGGUCCAACGGCUUAGUAUAUAUCAUAUACGGGUAAUUAAUUCCCUUCCCUCCGAGGCUCUGAUGGACCUUGGUAUAACAAAAAGUUCUGAUCAAUAACUGAAAUGUCCAGUCCAACGACUUCACUAAUUUUAAUUUCCAGUUCCUAAGAGGUUUUUUUUUAAAUAAAGUACCAAAGAUGCCCCCGCCUCCACGGUGGAGAGGUGCCAAUCCCCAUUCCUACCGAAGAAAAGAAAGAAGAAGGGGGUCAGUCGCAACAGCCAGGCCACAGCUGCCGCAAGCGCUGUUGACCAGCCACGGCCGCCGCCAGCCACGACCUGACCCCCUCUUGGGUACGAGGGAAGCUCUCUCUUGAGUCGCAAGUGAAGGAAAGAGUGCCUCACAAGAAAAGAAGUGAAGAAGAGAAGAAAAGAAGUGAAGAAGAGAAGUGAAGGAAAGAGUCCCUUAAGCCGCUGGCUGGUGCCGCCGGUUGCGGCCACUGCUGGCCAUGGCCCGGCCCCCUCCCGGCCACUUCGACGAGGGAAGCUCUCCCUUGAGCCGUGGGUGAAGGAUAGAGUUCCUAGGAAGAAAAUAAGAGAAGAAGAGAAGUGAAGGAAAGAGUCCCUUAAGCCGCUGGCUGGUGCCGCCGGUUGCGGCCACUGCUGGCCAUGGCCCGGCCCCCUCCCGGCCACUUCGACGAGGGAAGCUCUCCCUUGAGCCGUGGGUGAAGGAUAGAGUUCCUAGGAAGAAAAUAAGAGAAGAAGAGAAGUGAAGGAAAGAGUCCCUUAAGCCGCUGACCGGCUGCUGGCGCUGCCGGCCUCCCUUGAGUCACGGGUAAUGGAAAGAAGAGAAGAAGAGAAGAGGAAGAAGGGAGGCCGGGAGGAGAAGAAAGGAGAAGAAGAAGCUUC